rnacentral:misc_RNA from 1 species
UUAACUAUUAUAUAGUACUCAGACAUCACUAAACACAGAGUUUGGGUCCUCUGGCAGGCACUAUCAGCCGGAGCCGACGCCCGGAGGCGGCCUGCCAAAGCAACAAAGGUAUGUAUACACGGUUUGGGAAUAGAACCCAUUUAUAAAAAACGGGGCGAUUCUUUAAUGAUCCUUCCGCAGGUUCACCUACGGAAA